GAAUGCCAUCCGCCGUAAAACCCCAAGAAGAAGAAGAAGAAGAAGAAGAAAAAGAAAAAGAGCGAAUCAUCGCAGUUGCUCAGUGUUUGGAUGUACAAAACCUCGAAAAACAGGCCAGCUCAUCAAGUGCUUACAUUCAGCAGCUUCUCUCAGGGAUGUUGCCUGCCAGACGGAGCACCUGGAAACGCAUACUAAGACUGCGAUGCCUUUGUAGACCGUAGCACUCAGUGUGGCACCACCUCAAAGAUUCUGGCGGUGGUCGCCCCUGGCUCCUCCCACUGGUCCCGUCACAGCGAGGAACUGGUGCAGACCCCAGACACCAUUUCAAUCAAGGUUGAAGAGGAUAUUGGUGGAGGCAUGCCCGCC